rnacentral:rRNA from 1 species
AACGAACGCUGGCGGCAGGCUUAACACAUGCAAGUCGAGCGCCCCGCAAGGGGAGCGGCAGACGGGUGAGUAACGCGUGGGAACGUACCCUUUGCUACGGAAUAGCUCCGGGAAACUGGAAUUAAUACCGUAUGUGCCCUACGGGGGAAAGAUUUAUCGGCAAAGGAUCGGCCCGCGUUGGAUUAGCUAGUUGGUGGGGUAAUGGCCUACCAAGGCGACGAUUCAUAGCUGGUCUGAGAGGAUGAUCAGCCACAUUGGGACUGAGACACGGCCCAAACUCCUACGGGAGGCAGCAGUGGGGAAUAUUGGACAAUGGGCGCAAGCCUGAUCCAGCCAUGCCGCGUGAGUGAUGAAGGCCUUAGGGUUGUAAGCUCUUUCACCGGAGAAGAUAAUGACGGUAUCCGGAGAAGAAGCCCCGGCUAACUUCGUGCCAGCCGCCGCGGUAACAC